GACGAACGCUGGCGGCGUGCUUAACACAUGCAAGUCGAACGGAAAGGCCCUGCUCUUGUGGGGUGCUCGAGUGCCGAACGGGUGUGUAUCACGUGAGUAACCUGCCCUUGACUUUGGGAUAACUUCAGUAAACUGGGGCUCAUACCGGACAGGAGCUCCUGCUGCAUGGUGGGGGUUGGUAAGUUACGGCGUUUGGGGAUGGACUCGCGGUCUAUCAGCUUGUUGGUGGGGUAGUGGGUUACCAAGGCUUUGACGAGUAGCCGGCCUGAGAGGGUGACAGGCCACAUAGGGACUGGGGAGGGACCCAUACUGCAACGGGAGGCAGCAGUGGGAAAUAGUGCACGAUGGGCGGAGGCCUGAUGCAGCAACGCCGCGUGCGAGAUGACGGCCUUCGGGGUGUAAACCGCUUGCGCCUGUGACGAAGAGUGAGUGACGGUAAUGGGUAAAGAAGCACCGGCUAACUACGUG
rnacentral:rRNA from 1 species